UAUGAAGAACGUAGCGAAAUGCGAUAAGUAAUGUGAAUUGCAGAAUUCAGUGAAUCAUCGAGUCUUUGAACGCACAUUGCGCCCCCUGGUAUUCCGGGGGGCAUGCCUGUCCGAGCGUCAUUGCUGCCCUCAAGCACGGCUUGUGUGUUGGGCCGUCGUCCCCCUCCUAGGGGACGGGCCCGAAAGGCAGCGGCGGCACCGCGUCCGGUCCUCGAGCGUAUGGGGCUUCGUCACCCGCUCCGUAGGCCCGGCCGGCGCUUGCCGACGACCAUCAAUCUCUUUCUCCAGGUUGACCUCGGAUCAGGUAGGGAUACCCGCUGAACUUAAGCAUAUCAAUAAGCGGAGGA
rnacentral:misc_RNA from 1 species